GACGAACGCUGGCGGCGUGCCUAAUACAUGCAAGUCGAGCGCAGGAAACUGACGGAACUCUUCGGAGGGAAGGCAGUGGGAUGAGCGGCGGACGGGUGAGUAACACGUAAGGAACCUGCCUCAAGGAUUGGGAUAACUCCGAGAAAUCGGAGCUAAUACCGGAUAGUUCAACGGACCGCAUGGUCCGCUGAUGAAAGGCGCUCCGGCGUCACCUUGAGAUGGCCUUGCGGUGCAUUAGCUAGUUGGUGGGGUAACGGCCCACCAAGGCGACGAUGCAUAGCCGACCUGAGAGGGUGAGCGGCCACACUGGGACUGAGACACGGCCCAGACUCCUACGGGAGGCAGCAGUAGGGAAUCUUCCACAAUGGACGAAAGUCUGAUGGAGCAACGCCGCGUGAGUGAUGAAGGUUUUCGGAUCGUAAAACUCUGUUGUAAGGGAAGAACACGUACGAGAGGGAAUGCUCGUACCUUGACGGUACCUUGCGAGAAAGCCACGGCUAACUACGUGCCAGCCGCCGCAGUAA
rnacentral:rRNA from 1 species